rnacentral:sRNA from 16 species
UAACACUGGCGGCUGCGUAUCACUCUAGGGUACGUGAUAGUGCGAUAUAAGAAGCACUGGUACAUGCCGGCAGGGACAGUUAAGAGAUGGCCGCAGUCUCGUGUCCCUGCCGGUUUGGCUA